rnacentral:lncRNA from 10 species
AGAGGCAGCCGACAGCUUGCUGGGAGAUUUCUAAGAAGAAAGCUGGUGGGGUGGCUACUGCUUUCUAGAUUACUCAGUGUGUGACUGGAAACACACUGGUCGCUUUGCACGGUCACAGCCGGCACAGCCUGUAGUCACAGAAUGUUCUGGGCUCACCCUCUUCUCUGGCCUGGGGAAGUGAGGCUCAGCGUAGAGGCUGUACCCACAGGCACAUGACGGUCUGCACCCAGGCCAGGGCUCAGUGAGGAGCCGGAGUGUCCCGGCCUGCCUGGACUCCAGCCGGGACCUCCCACAUGAGGCUCAUUCAUCUAUGCCCAGGAUUCUCAAAGAACCCCGGCCCCAGCCUGCUCUCUGUCAUGUGCUGAGCCCCAAGCUUACCCAUGCCUCCUGCCGUGGGGACCAGAGAAUGAGAAGACCACCAGGGAGACCCGCCCUGGAGACCAUGGUGUGCUGCUGACUCACGGUGAGGCGGUUUCCUGAGGCGGGAGCGAGCCCCAGCCACCCACAGGAGUGUCUUCCAAGGGAGUGGAGGUGUGGGGAGACCAAGGCAAGCCCUAAAGGGUGCCAGAGAAUGACAUCACCAAGUGUGCCCUCUGUCCUGUCACUUGGAGCUCCUGGAAGCACAGAAUGUCCCUCAGCCUGGACACUGCCCCUGGCCUGGGGAGGUAGAUGCUCCCCACCUCCCCUCCUGCCCUAGUGCAGAGGAAAGAAGAUCAAAUCUGGAGUCAGCAGACAUAGGAGUCUAAUCCCUGGUUCUGAUAUAUCUAGGCAGUCAUUGCCUUAGCCACACUCAGCCUUAAUCUCCUGAUCUGCAAAAUGGGGAGAACCACACUAACUUUGCAGUUUGCGGUGAGAGUCAAGGAAACCCACGUGAGAAGUGUCUGGCACUGUGCCUCGCAUGUAGUAAGUACUCACUAAAUACUCGUUUACAGUUUUUUUCCCCUCCCUGUCUUAACCUUUUUUUCUCCAGUAAGUGACUGGGGACAGGAGUCCACUCUAAGAACCUCUGCCUGCCCUCAGAACUCCGUGGCCAGUGAGGGCUGCAUGACCCCUUUGUGCUGGGAAGGUGCAUCUCAGGACACUGACCUGCCUGUGCCCAGGCUCAUGGUGUGGGCAGAGAAACUGUGGGUGAGACCUUUGUGAAAAUGGAAACCCAGAUGACCGGGAAGGGGAGGGGCCCCAGGAGGAGGGAGAACCAAAGGUCCUUGCUGUCUGUUAUUCCACCUGUUUGUUUUCCCCUAAUCCCCAGCCCACAGGGAGCUGCCACAUUUCCCCUGACUCCCCCAGCGGGCCCAGCUCAGGGGCAGAGGCCGAGCAACACAAGCUGAUCAGGCCACCAUCACUGUUGGCUUCUGUGCCCAGGGGGUCCCUGCAGCCACCAUCAGGAAAGCUCCCACCCUGGGGACAGUCUCUCCUGCCUCCUGUUCUUCCUGGGGUCAAAGACGUGCUCCUGCUCAAGGGUGAGCAGGUGCAUGGGCUGGUGCCACCAGCUGGUACAGUGGCUCCCUUCUGCUCCCAUGAGGGGCCUGGGAGAUAUUUCAGGGCUCUGUCCUCAGCCAAGCGUGGACUCAGCCAAACACUUGGGCAGGAGGGAUGGUAUCUUGUUGCCUUCAGGGCUUGGCUGAGCCCAGGGUCGAGAGCAUUUUCAGAUAGAUGCCUGCUAACACACCAAACACGUCACUCCUUAACAAGAUCUCCCUUGUGCCAGGGCUUGAGCUGAGCUCCAGGGAGUGAGAGAAAGGGGACCUAACAGACUUGUGGGAGACGAGCGUGAAGACAAAGCAAUGACCCCAGAUAGGCCAGUCGCAAAUGCCAGGAAAGAUCCACGGACCCUGGAGUUUCACCUGGACCUUGAGAAACAGAAUUUGAAUAUUGUGGAGAUUAACAAAACAAAACACCACAGGAGCAAAGGUCCUGAGUGAAGCUGGCCCUUUGGGGCUGGUGUAUCUGGUCAGCUGGUAGGCAUGGAGGGCCCACCCCACGGGGAGAAGCCAGGCAGAGAAAGAAGGCUGGAGGCGGCCGGAAAAGACGGAAAAGACACAGGUGUCAGGCGACGUUUGAAUUGAUUUUCAGCACUAGGGAGCCAUCUCUGAUCAGGGAGUGGAGUGAGCAGAAAUGCCUUCUGGAGGAGGCCUUGAAACCACCUUUGCAAAAAUGGUAUCAGUGAGAAAAUUAUGACAGUGAAAGAGAUCUCAGCUAACCUACCCCCAAUCUUUCCUUUCCCUUCCUUAUUCCUGGGUAUUGGGCCGAGCUAACUUUGAAGACAUUUAGGCUGUAGUUUAAAUGGUAACAGGCCUUGUCCCAAAACGCAGCUGCUUUUGUAAAGCUAAUGAGAGGCCAUCAGGCCUGGGGGAGUAGAGGGCCCUGACUCCUGCUAAGGCGCAGACAUAAAAGACUGUCAGCCACGAUGCCAGAGGUCAGAAGACAGGCAACUUCCCUAAUUACUCCUGCAAAUAAUGCCAAUGUUGUGAACCUAAGGUCGGCCUUCCGAGAUACCUUUUCAGGCCUUUUGCAUGUCUGACACCCAUGGCUCCACCUGGACCCGCCAACCUUGCCCCUGUGGCCCCACCCAGAAGUGACUCAGCACCCAGGAGGACAGCUUCGACCCCCUAAGAUUUCAUCUCUGCCAACAGCAAGCACCUGUUACCUGGCCACCCCCAACUCUUCCCCCAAACUGCCUUUGAAAAACCCCUAACCUACAAGCUUUGAAGAUAAUUUCAGUACUAACUCUGUCUCCCACAUGGCACGGCGGGCCUUGGGUCUGUUCAAUUCUUUCUUUACUGCAAUUCCACGACCUUUCUUCAUGCAGUGGGCAGGAAGAACUCCUCCAGUGAUUACAGCCUGGGGUGCAGGGUCUGGAUGGACGGAGCAGCACCUGGAGAGGGCCGUUAACCCUCUGUUGUCCAUGUGUGGCUAGGCGAGGGCUGCAGCCAGACCCAUGGCCUUAUCUGCCUGCAGGGCCCGCCUGAGCCCUCAGUGACAGACACAGGUUUCUAAGCCAACCCAGAGGGGAUGCAGAGCCCUCCCUUUGGAGAGUUGAGAUCCUGCUGAACCUAGGAAAGUACUGAAACACCAGCAGAGAGCUCACAGAGCAGCCAUGGCCAGGGCUCAGGCACUGCCUGCGGCCCACCCUGGAGCUCCCACGCCCACCUGUCUCAUCUUUCCAGAACUGGCCCAUCUCUGCAGAGUUGGCAGCAGGUCCUCCUGCCAGCUGAGAGCCAGCUCCAGGACUCCUUGGCUUUUUCCAGGCAGAGCCCAAGGCCCAGGUGCCAAACCCGUGUCCCAGCUCUUCUUGGCAGGCCUGGCCCUUGUUUGUCUUUGGGUUUUUCAACUUUUUAUUUUGGAAUCAUUACAGACAAGUUGCAACGAUAGUACAGAGAGUUCGUUCCCAUGUACCCUCACCCAGCUUCCGCUAGUGUUAACGUCUUACAUAACCGUGGUACACUUGUCAAAGCAAAGAAAUUAACAUUGGAACAAUACUAUUAAUUGAACUACAGACUUUAUUUGGAUUUUAGAGUUUUUCCUUAAGGGACAUUACAGUGUCAUUUUUCUUGCCUAGGCCCAAUCCCGGUUGCCACGUUGCAUUUAGUUGUCACGUCCUUUGGUCUCCUUUCACCUGGGACCACUUCUCAGGGUUUCCUUGCUUCUUAUGACCUUGACAAUUUUUUUUAAAUUAUGGUAAAAUAGAUACGUAACAUAUUGCUAUUUUAACCAUCUUUAAGUGUAUAAUUAAGUGGCAGUAAUUGCAUUCACAAUGUUGUGAAACCAUCAUCACUAUUUCCAAAACAGAAACUCUGCCCCUUAACCAGUAACUCUCCACUCCCCUCCUCCCAGGUACCUUUUUUUUUUUUCUUUUGCGACAGAGUCUUGCUCUGUUGCCCAGGCUGCAAUGAUCUUGGC